rnacentral:pre_miRNA from 1 species
CUGGCCAUGGGACCUGUGGGCUUCCCUUUGUCAUCCUUUGCCUAGGAUCCGAGUGGGGCAGGGACAACAAAGGGGUGCUCAGGCGUCACCUCCACAACAUG